UUCCAGUUGCUGCAAACGUUUUCGUAAGGACUCUUACCAUUCCAGGAGUUUCUGGAGCUGUGCCUACAAAGCUGUCAAGAACUAAGUGCUGCUGUCCUCCUGGUACACCCUGAAGAAGCAGAAAGUGCAUUGACUUCCAGGAAGAACGUCUUUGAACAUGAUGAAUUUGAAAGGUGUAACUUUAUAAUGCUAUCUAAAGAGAAACGUAAGAGAGCAAGUGUCCUCACAUCCUGGCUCCUGCUAGUGACUGGCUCCCCACUUACAGCCUGUUGCACCUUCUGCUGUUUCUUUAAGGGGUAUUCUUCAAGAGAAUACCCCUUCUUCCUGAACAGCCUAUUCCAGAGCUGACUACUACGUGAGUGUUCUCCUUCCAGAACCGCUCAAUGCAAUUCCUGCUCAUGGAAAUUACCUUACUCUAAAAUUCACAAAUUUAACCGAACCGUCAUAGUACCUGUUCCUCGUAUAGCUGCUGCCCUGUCUGCUGGGGAGAGGAUGUGACUGUCUGCUGUGGUUGCUCCCAGGGCAGAAGCAUGUAAACUGGGUAGUACUGAAACAUCUGGAAACAGAAGUGCAUGAGAGAGUCCAUUAGAUCAGGAUGUGCAAUACUUUCCACUCUGGUGUUUCCACAGGUAUAAGCUACCAUUCCAAGCAAAUGUACUAGGCAUAGCAGAUGUACAGUGAUUCUCAAAUUGUGAAAUGGCUUGAACCCAACAUGAUACAGGGCUUCAUUUGUAAGGAUGCAUAGUCAAACAAGUUAGGAUAUAGUGGAUUAAACUAAGUGUAGUAAGCAUGAGUUCUUUUCAUAAACGCCAUCUUGGAAAUGUUAUACAUUGGUUAAUAGUUCAUGUAGUAUUUUUCCUAUGAUUUUGAGGACCAUCAUUCUACAGAACAUGAUACUAGAAUUUCUGUCAUAGUAAAUGAAGAAUAAAUUAAAUUGAAUACUUGGUGAUUUGCAUUUUAUUAAAAUAAUUCCUGGGCAAUGGAGAGGGAUCAGAGAUUAAGAGCACUGGAUGCUCCCACAGAGGAACUCGGUUUGAUUGCCAACACACACACACAUGGUGGUUCAUAACCACCAGUAACUCCAGUUCUAAGGCAUCCAAUGCCAUCUUCUGACUUCUGGUGCUGUUUGCAUGUGAGGCAAAACACUCACAAAUGUCAAAGAAAGAAAUCUGAAAGUAAUCUUUAUCAGUCUUAGAAUAUUGGAGAAACAAUAAGGAAAGCACCACACCCACAUUGCCGUAUAUUGGCUUCUAGCUAUAUUGUCUAUGUGCUUGUAUGGAGAGCAUGUUUGGAAAAUAAGGAACACCGAACAUGCAGACACUUUUAAAUGCUGUUUUAGGAUUUGCUUCACCAAAUGAUUAUAUUAGAUAUAAGGUUUGAAGAUAAUUGCAACUGUGUUUCUGAAAUGGAUACAAUUUGAUUAAUAGGUGUCUUUUUUUUUUUAAAUCCUUGCCAAGAGUAAAAAUUAUCCAUUAAGACUCCAGGAACCUAAUGUUCGUCUGGUACAGUAGAGAUUCUAAUAUUUUAGGCUUAAGGUAGAGCUUAGGUGUUUGCAAUUCUAGAAAUAGCCCACAAAACUUUUGACCUAAAGCCUAUGCAGAGAGCCACUGGAUUAAUGGUUGAAAAGUGGGUAGAGGAGUGACUUCUAACAGCUAUUUGGUUCACUGGGUUAAGACACUUAAUCUCAUUAAAACUAUGUUUCCUGGACCGUAAAAUGAAGUAAUCGUAUGUGUCACAUAUCUGAUUCACUACAGACCUAAGGAUAUACAAUGAGAUAAUGUCUAGAAUUGUGUUAUUAUGUAAUGGCAGUGGGAGCAAAACUUAAUUGCAUAAUUAUACUUAUAGAAGAGCCAAGUGGCAUAACUUUGUUUGAACAAGUCAAUAGUCUUCAUGUGAAUCACAAUUUAUACAUAAGCCAUGUUCCUUCAAACCUAAGGUAUUAUACAAUUAAUUAUCCUAAUAUUGACAGGGUUUCUAUAUUCCAAUAAUUAAUCUAUCAGUUAAUAUUAAUUUGAUUUUUUCUUCCAGGGGGAAAAACUCAUUAAAUUAUAAUAUAGAGUCAUAUUUUAAAUACGGCAUAAAAGAGACUGAAAAAGUUUUCAGUGGAAUUUUAUAACAGACCAAUAAUGUGUGUUAGUGUUAUUUAUAAUAAUAAAUAUCAUUAUAAUAAAGUAUGGUAUUUAUACCUACACAUCAGGUAUGCAUGCAAAAUCACGUGACACAAAAUUUGGGAAGGUAAAAAGUUAGCUCAUAGUUUUACUCUUCAGUUCUUCCCCAGUGACGGCAUUUAAAUACAGGGAAGGUAUGAUACUGGUCUUACUGGACUCAUUCACUUCCUGCAUAGUGAUGUCGUAGAUAUUCAAGGGUCCUAGAGACCCUUUUUAUCUGCCUGUUCUUAAAGAAUCAAGUUAGGCCAGCAUCAGCAGAUGCCCAGAGGCCACUUAUAGUGCCUCUAUAUAGUGAUGGAUGGUACACAGUUUGGCGGUCCUGGUGCUAGAGACCCAGGGGGACAAAAGGGAAUAUAAAGGAAUUCAUUCUGUCUUUGUCAAGGAAUUCUUUUCACUUACCUGUGUUUGAUCUUGAGGCACUUUUACAGGAACCACAUAGGACAUCUGAGCAAAAGAAGAGCCACAAAGUCGUAUAAGCAAAUCUCUCUGAAUUGUUACAAUUCUCCUUUCCCUAGAUACAGCUUCUCAGGUAUCGUUUUCAUUAGUAAAAUUGACCUUCUACAUGAGCUAGAAUCCAUACAAAUACUGCAUCCACAUGUUGUUUGAGCUCCUGGUUAUUGACUAUAUUUGAGGGCAAUUGAUCUUAAUGUUAUUUUUAUGUUAAAAAUCAGAAAAUAUAGAGAGAUACUUUCAGGGGUGGUUGCAAUAGUAUAGGAGAAAAUUGGAUUAAACUCCCGUGAUAUUUCAAAGCUAAUUCACAAAAACCUUUCUGCUCUGUCAUACAGUUCCAAAAGGGAAGAAGCUUCACUUACAGGAUUAGCCUGCUGGGUCUGAGAUGGUGUCUGCUGCUGUGAGAAGUCUGGCUGGCCAGCCUGACCUCCUUGGGCAAACCCAACCUGUCUUGAGAAAGAAGUUUAUUCCCAGGAUCUUUCCAGUGCACCAGUUAUUGACCUCAGAUUACCUUUGCUCUGAAAUAUUUUACCUGCAUUUCUGAGCACUUUCCCUCUUCAAGUCCUGUACCAUAUUUUCUCCUUAUCUGAUUUCAAGAAACAAGACUCUCAUACAGAAAUAGUAAACUUAAAUAAAAUGAUAUAUGGAACUGCAGA